UACAGAGGUCUCAAGCGUUGUUCGGAUUCAUUGGGCGUAAAGGGUGCGUAGGCGGCGCGGUAAGUCGGGUGUGAAAUCUUGGAGCUUAACUCCGAAACUGCAUUCGAUACUGCCGUGCUUGAGGACUGGAGAGGAGACUGGAAUUUACGGUGUAGCGGUGAAAUGCGUAGAUAUUCGCAAGAACACCAGUGGCGAAGGCGGCUCACUGGCCCGGUACUGACGCUGAGGUGCGAAAGCGUGGGGAGCAAACAGG
rnacentral:rRNA from 1 species